CCAAAGUGCUGGGAUUACAGGCAUGAGCCACCACACCCGGCCAUGAAGAUAUUUUUCUAAACAUUACUUUACCUCUUUGUUAUUGAAGGUGACUUUUUCUGUCUUUAGCUGUCUUAUGAAAGUAUUCUUCAAAGAUGAGAAAUGAUUACGAGGUAUUUAUAAUUAACACUCAUUUUUAAAUUUUCAGGUCUCAGAAAGAUUCCAGCAGCUAAUGAAGCUCUUUGAAAAGUCAAAAUGCAGGUAGUUAAUGGUUACACUACAGGAGACUACUAAAAUAAAUGUUUGACACUGUAGUUGUGCAGUUAAUGGCCUGUUAGUCAUUGAAGAUGUGAAUAGUGGGUGAGAGACAUCCAGUUGAGUUCCUGCUUCAGUCACAGGUUGGAGGAUGGUUGCUCGAGCAGGCAUCUAAGGUGACCUCAUCCACAGGGACGUGCUCAGAGUGAAGCCUGCUGCAGUUCAGAUCAGCAUGGCAUCUCUCCUCAACCUUCUGAUUGCUGAUGAGCCUAAGAUAAGUUGCUGAAUUCCUGGGACUCUUAAUUGAUAUUGCAUACUACACAGAAGCUUCAAAUUCCUCAUGUUUUAAAUGAGCACUAGAGGGAGGUUUAUCACCUUUUUGAUUACCAGAUGAUAAUCUACAUUUGUAAUUACUCAGUGACUCUAAUUUCACAUCAGCAUGUUCAGCUUGUCCUAGUCAUCACUCUGAUUUGCUUAUCUGUUUUUGGUCAAAAUAUUUAUUUUUAAACACAUUAGAACUUAUAAAAAUGAAAGCAACAGUGAUGUAUUGAAAUCUUAGUUUUGAUAUUUUAAAGAAAUGACUUUGUAGAUUAAAAAAAUAGUUUUGUAGCAUUUUAAACUUAGUGACUAUUUAGUUCAAGUGUUCAACCAUUUUUUAUUUGCUUUUAUAAUUGCCUCUCCUUGUUUUGGUAUAUUGUAAAAUAAUUUAAAUAAUGUAUUUAUAAAUAUGUAUAAUGAUGAUGUAAAAUACUGUGUGUAUAUGUAUGUAUGUGUGUUUCUGUGUAUGCACACACAUAAAAUGGCUUUAUCUAGCCAAGGAUUUUUUUUUAUCUGUAUAAAACUUUUUGUAUAAAGUUUGCUUUCAAUAACAGUUAUGUAUAAUAAAACCAUGUAAAGUUUUGUUGUA